UUUGUGGGGAAUGCUACCUGGUCCAAGGAGAUCCAUGAUCACUCACACUAUAUAUACAUUAAUUUCACUUCAAGCUAACGAUUCAUGGAUAUAACAUUUUCACACACACAAAAAAAAAAUGUUCAAUUACUAUAUCAUACAUAUAUGAUCAUCGAGUUCGAGUUAGUUAUCGUGUGUGUGUUCUCGGACCAGGCUUCAUUCCCCUCAAC
rnacentral:pre_miRNA from 1 species